GAAAUGCAGAUAGUUUGUUUUUUCACCUCAAAUAUCACAUAAUGCCAUUUUCAUUUUGGGGAUGAGAUUCCACGGUUAAAUCAUAAAACUGAUACUGCAGAAAAUACUUUUCUAGAUGUGUUAAAUGUAUCCAGUGGAGAAUGGAAGUGAGGCUGACUAGAUAACGUAGUGGGGUCAGCCAGGAAUGGUGGCUUACGCCUAUAAUCCUAGCAUUUUAGGAGGCCCCGGCGGGUGGAUCACCUGAGAUCAGGAGUUGGAGACCAGUCUGGCCAACAUGGCGAAACCCCGUCUCUACUAAAAAUAUAAAAAAUUAGCUGCGCAUGGUGGUUGGUACCUGUAAUCCUUACUCUGGAAGCUGAGGCAGGAGAAUCCCUUGAACCUGGGCGGCGGAGGUUGCAGUGAGCUGAGAUCUUGCCUUUGCACCCUCCAGCCUGGGCAACAAGAGUGAAACUCCAUUUGAAAAAAUAAAACAAAAAGAAUAAAAAGAAAAGAAACACAGUAGGGCUGGUGGGAGCAUGGAGAGUAAAACCUGAAUUUUCUCUCUAGGUACUGAUAGAGGAAUCAUUUUGUCUGACCUGUUGUGUUUCUUCAGCCAAAGAGGACAUACUGAACAGUUGUAUUGAUUCGGGAAUGAUGCAUGUGGACAUCAGGGCAUGAGAUUGUAGGAGCUAAGAACUGGGAACAGAAAGAUGCAACUCCUGCCUUCGUGGAGUAUAUUCCAGUAGAAGAGUCAGGAACAAACAGGCAUAGUGAUUCUGCUCUUCUGAUCAAUCCUGAUUGACACAGCCACAGUUAAAGAAAAUGGAAAGAGCUCCUGUUCAUUAACUAAUUUCAGAUGAACAGUGCUUUCAAUAUUUCCAAGCUCUGGAAAACUAUCUAUGAAAUCAUACCUAAUAAACACAUCAAAACUUUGGAGUUACUCUUACCCCAACACCUGAAUUUAUCCUGGGCAUUUAGUUGCUGAAGCCUAGUCAAGCCCGUGUAACUGCAAUUGUCUGGAAGAGUUUGUCUAACGUGUCAAAAUUGCCACACUUCAGUGUUCUGAAUGCAUCCAUGUGUUUCAUGAUAUUACAGGAUCCACAAGAAAGUGAAUCACAAGAUUCUUAGAAAGUAGAGAAAGCACUGUCUUCUGACUUACCUAACACAUUUUUUUCAUCACCCUGUUCUGAGAUUUUAAGGAUCAGGAGAAACGGAGUCACUUUACAAAGAUAUUAUAGUAUUUUGAUGAGAACCUUCGAAGAUUUUAAACUUAGAAAGUUCUUUUCACUUGGAAACAACCCAAAUGUCCAUCAAUGAUAGACUGGAUAAAGACAAUGUGGCACAUAUACACCAUGAAAUACUAUGCAGCCAUCAGAUGAGUUCAUGUCCUUUGCAGGGACAUGGAUAAAGCUGGAAACCAACAUUCUCAGCAAACUAAUACAAGAACAGAAAACCAAACACCACAUGUUUUCACUCAGAAGUAGGAGUUGAACGAUGAGGACACAUAGACCCAGGGAGGGGAACGUCACACACCCAUGGCCUGUUGCAGUUUGGGGGACUAGGGGAGGGAUAGCAUUAGGAGAAAUACCUAAUAUAGAUGACGGGGUGACGGAUGCAGCAAACCACCAUGGCACGUGUAUACCUAUGCAACAAACCUGCAUUUUCUGCACCUGUACCCCAGAAUUUAAAGUAUAAUAAAAAAUAAAUAAAAAGAAAAUCCUUUUCAAAGACAACCUUAUGCUGAAUUGUGAAAUUGCUGUCAUUACAAUUCCUGACUCUUGUAGGUCUUUCAAUCAUGUUUCAAACAUUUAUUCCACUCUCCCUGACCACCCAAGCUUCCCUACAGAAGUUCAAUAUCUGACACAUAGUUAAUGCUUUAAAUUCAAAACAUCCCUUUACAACCUGUUUCUCAUAUUUGUUUUCCUCAUGACUCUACUCUUUUCUUGGAAUUUGUAGCAUUAUUUAGAGGUAAUGUUCCUGUGAAGUCAUGUGUAAAGCAGUUUUUGACUAUAGUAAAGUUAUCUUAAUUUAAAUUUAAAAUUAAUGGUGUUUUGAUAUAUGUAUACAUUGUGGCAUGACAAAAUAAAAUUAUACACAGUAAAUAAAUACAAUUUUAUUUGCCAAUUUAAAAAUAAAAAAGCAAAUGAAUGGUGAAAUGCUGGUUCUUGCAGGGAGCUGAUGGGUUUGUCCAGGAUGCCAAAGUCUUAGAGUAUUUUCCAUGGCAUCCUUUACAGCUGUUCAAGCUCUACUCUUUACAUACUUGAUUUUGUUGGUGCUUUUAUCUUAAAAUGAUUAUUGAUCACAAUCAUAUUUUAUUAUUCUAUAAUUGCUGUUCUCUACAUACUGAACCAUAACUCACAUGCCUUCUUGCAAGAUAAAUUCAAUCUCUCACUUGAAGAGUGUACUAUAUUAUUUUAACUUAAAUAUAUCUCUUCUUUUUGCCUUUCUGCUUAUGCAUGAGAGUCUGAGGAUUAAAAACUUGGCUGUCCAGUGAUACCCAUCCAUUUAAGGAGCAGUGAUCAGAUUGUUUAAUGAUACUCUUUGUUUCUAAUUGCUUGUUGUUCCAUACACUAAUCAACCUUUGCCUGAAGACAUUUUUCAUGAACUCCCUUGGCACAGUAUCUUUUCUUAGCUUUAGCUUUGGUUCGUGACCUCUUGUUUUUCAGUCCAUUACCUUCUGAAACUAUUUGUGACUUGCCACUUUUUUUGUCCUUCAAAGUUGUAUUCAACUUCAAUAAAAUAUUUUUUAAUAUUCAUUUUUUUGUAAGGUAAUAUUUUUCUACAGCUCUACAAGCUGUUUAUGUUUUAAACUAUUUUACUAGAAAAGAGUAGAAUAGUUAGAAAAAGCUUUAAAAUAAAAACAUUCCAGUAAGCUAAGCCAAAUUUGUUAUUGGAGAAAUAAAAAAUAUUUUAUUAUACAUUUAGUGUAGCCUAAGUGCACAGUGUUGUAUUAGUCCAUUCUCAGACUGCUAUAACGAUACUACCUGUGACUGGGUAAUUUAUAAACAAAACAGAUUUGAUUGACUCACAAUUCUGCAUGGC